rnacentral:lncRNA from 1 species
CUCUCACUCAGGAGAAAUGAAAUGGUACGGAGGGCUUAUUUACUUGCUGCCAUCUAAGAAGAAGGGACAGCAGCAUGGUUAUCUAGGUAGUGAUGACAAACAAUGAAGGGUGAAAUCGGUAUAUUCCUGAAGAGGAGCCAUCAUGGCAGGCCACUUCUGAUAUUCUUGAUGAAGAGUCAAGAUCUUUGGGGGAAAUAUGAAAUUUUAGAGUGGAAAAACUGGAUUUUGUGAAAAUGGCACUUUCUAUUGUAAUGAUUUCCCCGCGAAAAUGCUAACCCUCUCCACUGGCUGGCAAAGUGUUUUGGCUAGUAAGAGAGCAAAGAGAAAUGUCUUCAAAGGUCUGGACAGCAUCAAAGUUAAUUAGAUCUGGAUUCUCUCGGAGCGAUUAUGUGACCUCUCUCUUAGGAUGACACACAAUACCUUAUUUUAUACCAAAGACCCUCCUGGGUAGGAAUGGUCACUGAAAGACCCUUCAUUCUUUGACAAUCCCAGCGCUCAAACUAGAUCUUCCAGCUUUGUGGAGACACUUCACUGAACACUCUUGAAUAUGUGCUAAGAAAGGGAGGUGCUUCUCUCAGGACUCUAAUGCACAGAUUUCCUACAAUGUCUAGUAAUGAUUGUCUCAUUAGCUAGUUACUUUGAAUUCACUGCUAACUCAAGAGAAGCUAAAGCAAAAUGAAUUAUUUGUUUCUAUUAACCAAAAUAGGUACCAUUGCUAAUAUUUAUAAAAGACAUGCAAAUACAUGAAAUAUAUUU